CCUUCGAUAGCUCAGCUGGUAGAGCGGAGGACUGUAGAUCCUUAGGUCGGUGGUUCGAUUCCGCCUCGAAGGA
rnacentral:tRNA from 1 species